rnacentral:rRNA from 1 species
UACGUAGGUGGCAAGCGUUGUCCGGAAUUAUUGGGCGUAAAGCGCGCGCAGGCGGUUUACUAAGUCCAUCUUAAAAGUGCGGGGCUUAACCCCGUGAUGGGAUGGAAACUGGCAGACUGGAGUAUCGGAGAGGAAAGCGGAAUUCCUAGUGUAGCGGUGAAAUGCGUAGAGAUUAGGAAGAACACCGGUGGCGAAGGCGGCUUUCUGGACGACAACUGACGCUGAGGCGCGAAAGCGUGGGGAGCAAACAGG